UUAUCCACUCAUCCUACCUCCUACUGGCCUACCCACCACCAGCCGCCCCGCACUUCCUCCCUGAUAUGCGUCUGUCGCCUCGCUCCUCCACCGGGCCAAGCGUCCCUCCGUCGUGCUCCUUCACCGGGCCACACGUCCCUCCGCCGUGCUCCGUCUCUCGGUUACGCGGCUGUCGCCUCAAUCCUCCCCUGGCUCCGCAACCCAGGCUAGGCAUAACCCCGGCCGCCUCCUCUCCUUACCUAUUCCUGGCGACAAGCGCCGCACUCCAGCACCCAUAAAGGAUUUGGUCGUGCGACUUCUCCUGGUGAUGCAUGUCGUGCCCUAAAGGACCUGCUCCCCCAGUUCCCUGGGUAGCCGGUCGCGAGCCCGUUAUGCGUCCCUAUGGCGUCGGCUUUCCCCUCAGUCGUGUUGUGCCAGCUGUGCGCAUAAGGUCCACCAUCUUCUCUCGAUUCUGUAGUUCGAUUUGGUUGCUGAUCAACCAAUUCUAUCCAGAACCACCAGGAGCAGCAGCAAACACCAACAACGGCUAGAUGCAGCCGCAACUGUCCUUCAAUAUGCUACUGUAGACACAAGCGUUGAGGGAAGUACGCCUAGAACGCCAUCAAUUUCCUGUGCUUCCUAAAAAACAAGGGCCUCAUCGAUGAUGAGGUCGAAGAAGAAAAAAAUUGUGAAAUGGGGUGAGCGUUGCCUGAGAAGGUGGAGUGUGCUCCCGCAGUGAAGGAAUUCGAGAAGUUCCGUCGUUCAUUGACUCGCUGUAAAUUCUGAACUAGCUUUGUAUCUGCCAAUAGAAGUAGAAGUGUAGAACAAGUGGUACAUUCUGAACUGUGUCCAUUUUUUAUUCUGUUUGUGAUGCACACUGUUGUGUGUUUCUUCAAUCAAUUUUUUUUAUGCGAUCA